AUGGAGCCGUGGCUGCCGGUGCUCCGCCACAUGCUCGCCUCCUCCGCCCCCAACGCCGCCGCCUUCUCGUCCUCGAGCAGCAGCCCCUGCUCUGCUCCUCCGGCUGCGGGCCUCCUCCGCAUCCUCCUCUCCCCGGUACCCACGCUCCCCGCCGCCGAGCCCACGGCCGUCCUCUUCCAGACCCUCCCGCCCUUGCUUCAGUCCCAGGCGCUCUCCUUCCUGUCCUCCUCCGCCUCCCUGCUCGACCCGCUCCAGCUCCGCUCGCUCGCCUCUCGCGUCCUUUCUGCCCCGCCCGGCCGGUGUGAUGAAUUCUGGGUCCGCCGGGGCGCCCACCACCUGCUCGACGGAUUGCCUGACAAAGACGCUCCUGAUGUCCCCUGGGAGUUUAACGAGGAGUUCCACGAGCCACCGCCGUGGCUUAAAGAAGAGGCGGCGCGGACACCACCUGUCCUUCCGUGGCUGCCUCUCGAUUGCCGGAGCUUGAUGCCUGGUGGGGCCCGCGUCGGCGGGGAUGGUUUAGAUGGAGUUGGGUUGGAGUCUCUGGGGCUGGAGCAAGAUGAGUAUUCGUUCAUACAGGAGGAGGUUGGGCGUGCUCCUUCUCCUCCGUCUCCCCCACUUGGAAAUUCAGUCGUUCAUAAGGCUCUAGCUCUGAAGAAGGAGAUUGAGAUGUCAGAGUCAAUUUUGGGUGCUCAGCAGGCAGCGAACAAUUUGCAUGAUCUCUGCCUUGAAUCCGGGAAUGCUGAGGCAGUACUUAGCUUAGUGCAGCCAUGGGAAGCUGAUGAUGACACAGUGAGGGUUCUGCUUUCAAAUGUGGUACUCGAGGAAGAUGGGAUGCAUGGAAAAGGGCCGGCACUUGUGCUGUGUUCUCUUAUCCUACCGAAGUUACUUGACCUUCAAAGAGCAGCUUCAUCUGGUCUUCUUUCUGCAGCAUUAGAUGUCUGCAAACGUCACCCAGCUGCUGCACUGGAGGCUGUCCUCUUCCCACUAGUUCUUAGAAAACAAGGCCUGAAUGCUCCUCAGUGCGAUGUGCUCACACGGAUUGUCAGGGACUGCAUGCAUCCUUUGCAUGUCACCGCCUUCUGUCAUAGGUUGCUUUCAGGGGAGGAGGGAGAGAGGAAACCGAUUUGUAUGCCUCAGCAUCGGGAAAAUAUUGGCCGCGAUUUGGUCUGGACAGAAUCUCUCUUUGCACUAUUCUACAACAUUCUCAGUCAAGACAUUUGCCUAACACCAAGCACCAUCGAGAAGCUAGUGUACAUGAUUGAUGAUAUGGCAAUAAAGUUUCCAAAGUCGCUUAAAUUUGGCAACUUUUUCCUGUGCUUCGUCUCGAAGUGUUGGCAUGAAUGUAAGAUUCACAGGGUUUUACUUGAGACAGCUGCCGAGACAACCAACACUUUUUUGACUAAAGCUAUUCUGGUCAAACUGCGGCCUGCUAAUUGA
rnacentral:rRNA from 1 species